UACAGAGGGUGCAAGCGUUAAUCGGAAUUACUGGGCGUAAAGCGUGCGUAGACGGUUACAUAAGUCGGGUGUGAAAGCCCCGGGCUCAACCUGGGAAUUGCAUUCGAGACUGCGUAGCUAGGGUGCGGAAGAGGGAAGCGGAAUUUCCGGUGUAGCGGUGAAAUGCGUAGAUAUCUGGAGGAACACCGGUGGCGAAGGCGGCGUCCUGGACCAACACUGACACUGAUGAGCGAAAGCCAGGGGAGCAAACGGG
rnacentral:rRNA from 1 species